UGAAACUGAUCUCUCCGUGAAGAAGCGGGGAUGAAUCUAUAAGACGAGAAGACCCCAUGGAGCUUUAAACCCAACAGCACCCGCUUACUUUAUACCCAAUUAUAUGCCCGUUGCCUGUCUGCUCGGUUUUAGGUUGGGGUGACCACGGAGUACAAAAUAACCUCCAUGAAAAAGGGGAUAAAUACCCUUAUUAGAGAACAACACUUCCAAAAACUAACAAAUUAAUUUCUAAUGAUCCGACAUUCGAUCAACGAACCAAGUUACCCUGGGGAUAACAGCGCAAUCCACCCCGAGAGCUCCUAUCGACAGGUGGGUUUACGACCUCGAUGUUGGAUCAGGGUAUCCCAGUGGUGCAGCAGCUACCAACGGUUCGUUUGUUCAACGAUUAAAACCCU
rnacentral:rRNA from 1 species